rnacentral:rRNA from 1 species
GACGAACGCUGGCGGCGUGCUUAACACAUGCAAGUCGAACGAUGAAGCUGGAGCUUGCUCUGGCGGAUUAGUGGCGAACGGGUGAGUAACACGUGAGAAAUCUGCCCUUGACUCUGGGAUAACUGCGGGAAACUGUAGCUAAUACCGGAUACUUUCCCUGGUGGGCAUCCACUGGGGAAGAAAGAAUUUCGGUCAAGGAUGAUCUCGCGGCCUAUCAGCUUGUUGGUGAGGUAAUGGCUCACCAAGGCGACGACCGGUAGCCGGCCUGAGAUGGUGACCGGCCACACUGGGACUGAGACACUGCCCAGACUCCUACGGGGGGCAGCAGUGGGGAAUAUUGCACAAUGGGCGCAAGCCUGAUGCAGCAACGCCGCGUGAGGGAUGAAGGCCUUCGGGUUGUAAACCUCUUUUAGCAGGGAAGAAGCGAAAGUGACGGUACCUGCAGAAAAAGCACCGGCUAACUACGUGCCAGCCGCCGCCGUAA